CGCAAGUCGCGUUCGCAACGCACUCUCGUUUCAUUCGAGGAAUUAAUCUCGAACCUGUAAAUCUACAAUCCGUCCAUCCAGACGUUUCAAGACUCGUUCUGUGUGGGUUGCAAUAAUCUAUAGAGUAACUGUAAUUAGAAAGAAUGAAGAAAGAAAAUAAAGAUUCAAGAGAAGAUGCAUUUCUAGAACUGCUUCUAGUAGGAUUAAUAUAGAAAGAGUAAAACUGCUGCAAUGAUUGAAAUGGGUGGAAGAGGAUAAUGUAGAUGUAAGAGAAGAUCUAUUUCGGUAUAGGCCUACUUUUACAGGGAUUACUUCCUGAAUGUAUGAAUCAACCCCAAUGACCUUUACUUUAUUCACAUACCGGUAAAUCUACUGUAGUCAUUCAUAAAUCUCGAACUUGACCUCACAUGACGGCCAUUAGUGAUAACGUGCAGCAAGUGCGUCGCUUUGAUUAGACGAGCGUGCGUAACACGAGUGAACAUGCUCUCAUCGGUGAUUAAGUGGCAACUUGAUAACACGCGUUCCUUUCGAUCGAACGCACGCGAUCAUAUUUAAAGACGCGCAGCUUGUGUUUGCAUAAUUAUGAUCGUCUGACACGCAUCACAAUCUAACUACAUACGUAGAUGAA